rnacentral:tRNA from 1 species
GCCCAAGUGGUGAAAUUGGUAGACACGCCAUCUUGAGGGGGUGGUGCUCGUAUGGGCUUAGGAGUUCGAGUCUCCUCUUGGGCA